GAUGAACGCUAGCUACAGGCUUAACACAUGCAAGUCGUGGGGCAGCAUGAAGGAAGCUUGCUUCCUUUGAUGGCGACCGGCGCACGGGUGAGUAACGCGUAUCCAACCUUCCCCUUACUAGAGGAUAGCCCGGCGAAAGUCGGAUUAAUACCCUAUGUUGUUCGUCGAGGACAUCUGAAGUGAACCAAAGAUUUAUCGCUAAGGGAUGGGGAUGCGUCUGAUUAGGUUGCAGGCGGGGUAACGGCCCACCUGGCCUACGAUCAGUAGGGGUUCUGAGAGGAAGGUCCCCCACAUUGGAACUGAGACACGGUCCAAACUCC
rnacentral:rRNA from 1 species